GCCUCCUUAGCUCAGAUGGCCAGAGCGGGGCCCUUGUAAGGCCUAGGUCGUCGGUUCGAAUCCGACAGGGGGCUCAA
rnacentral:tRNA from 1 species